AGAGAUCAUGGCUCAGGAUGAACGCUAGCGGCAGGCUUAAUACAUGCAAGUCGUGGGGCAGCAGGACUGUAGCAAUACAGUUGCUGGCGACCGGCAAACGGGUGCGGAACACGUACGCAAUCUACCCAAAACUGGUGAAUAGCCUUCCGAAAGGAAGAUUAAUACACCGUAACCUAAUUGUAGUGGCAUCACUAUAUUAGUAUAGCUCCGGCGGUUUUGGAUGAGCGUGCGGCUGAUUAGAUAGUUGGUGUGGGUAACGGCCCACCAAGUCUGCGAUCAGUAACUGGUGUGAGAGCACGACCAGUCACACGGGCACUGAGACACGGGCCCGACUCCUACGGGAGGCAGCAGUAAGGAAUAUUGGUCAAUGGACGCAAGUCUGAACCAGCCAUGCCGCGUGAAGGAUGAAGGUCCUCUGGAUUGUAAACUUCUUUUAUAGGGGACGAAACCUCUUUUUCUAAAGAGACUGACGGUACCCUAGGAAUAAGCACCGGCUAACUCCGUGCCAGCAGCCGGGGUAAUACGGAGGGUGCAAGCGUUAUCCGGAUUCAUCUG
rnacentral:rRNA from 1 species